GUGCCAGCAGCCGCGGUAAAACGUAGGUCCCGAGCGUUGUUCGGAUUCACUGGGGGUAAAGGGCGCGUAGGUGGUUGUCUGGGUCUCAUGUGAAAACUCAGGGCUCAACUCUGAGAUUGCGUGGGAAACUAGGCAGCUAGAGGACGGUAGAGGGGAGUGGAAUCCCCGGUGUAGCGGUAAAAUGCGUAGAUACCGGGAGGAACACCGGUGGCGAAGGCGGCUCUCUGGGCCGAUCCUGACGCUGAGGCGCGAAAGCUAGGGGAGCGAACCGGAUUAGAUACCCGGGUAGUCCUAGCCGUAAACGAUGGGUGCUAGGUGUUGGGGGGUAAAGACCCUUCAGUGCCGAAGCUAACGCGAUAAGCAUCCCACCUGGGGUGUACGGCCGCAAGGCUAAACCUCAAAGGAAUUGGCGG
rnacentral:rRNA from 1 species